rnacentral:rRNA from 1 species
AGUGAACGCUGGCGGCGUGCUUAACACAUGCAAGUCGAACGAGAACGGAUUAUAGCUUGCUAUAAUUGUCAGCUAAGUGGCGCACGGGUGAGUAAUGUAUAGGUAAUAUGCCUCUUACUAAGGGAUAACAAAUGGAAACGUUUGCUAAUACCUUAUACUCCUUAUUAACAGAAGUUAAUAAGGGAAAGAUUUAUUGGUAAGAGAUUAGCCUGUAUUGUAUCAGUUAGUUGGUGGGGUAAUGGCUUACCAAGACUAUGACACAUAACUGGUUUGAGAGGAUGAUCAGUCACACUGGAACUGAGACACGGUCCGGACUCCUACGGGAGGCAACAGUGGGGAAUAUUGCACAAUGGACGGAAGUCUGAUGCAGCAACGCCGCGUGGAGGAUGACACAUUUCGGUGCGUAAACUCCUUUUAUAUGAGAAGAUAAUGACGGUAUUAUAUGAAUAAGCACCGGCUAACUCCGUGCCAGCCGCCGCCGUAA